AUGCCUCCCCUCAAGACUGUUCCUCGUGCCAAAGCCAGACUUAGCAAGAGAGCUAAAUUGAGUAAACCAACUGAUGAUAACCAGGCCACUGAACCGGAGAAGACCCUCGAGGCUCAUGAUCCAAGUGUUGAUGUUGUCCUGGAAGAUCUGGCACCUCAAGUUCAUGAUACUUUCGUUGAACCGGACGAGAUAAAUAAAAAAACCAGCCUGCUGAUCCGCCAAGCCCUUCUGUCAAUCCACCAAGCCCAGCAAGAACAUCUGCUAAACCUCCAAGCCCAGCAAAAACUGUUGAUGGUACCACAGAUGAUGUUGUAA
rnacentral:rRNA from 1 species